GUCAAUUUACUCAUAUGGUUACAUUGGCUUUUUGCUAUGGUUUUGUUGCUUGAAAAUGUAUACAUUAUAGUUCUCAAUGGCAAGAGUUUAACAAUUUAUGCAUUUUUUUUCAUUUUGCAACUUCUGUAUUUCCGGGUGGAUGUACUUUCUGAAGAUAUGGCAAACAGUGCUGGAAGAUCUGACGAUCUUAAGAUGUUCAAAAAAAAGGUUCAUCGUCUGAAGUUUUCGGUGGUGCAUUUUCUUGAGGAAAAUGAGGUGGAUGUGGCACCAUCAUUAUGGUUGGCGAAGAGCAAUGGGACAGCUACAGCCUGGCCAGGGAGAGGGCAAGAAAGGGGCAAGACACCUCUCAGGUGGAAACGGAGG
ensembl:lncRNA